rnacentral:snRNA from 1 species
GUGAUCUACAGCACAGUCAUA